AAUGCACCAUAUUAAAAUUUUCCGGGGGAGCAGCGGCGUCCGUCGCUUGGGCACGCUGUGCGCGGUGUCGGGCCAGUAACUUUCAAAAACUACUGGGCUAUGCAAAUUUCUGGGCUAUGUCAACCCCUGCAUUCACUCUCAACUUGCUUCUGUUGCACACCCUUCCAAGCUCCUCACAACAUAUAUCAGAACUUAAGAUUCUUGUAGGGCAAUUAUAAAUCUCUACUUUGAAUGUGUCUGAUGAAGAUUACAUAAACCAGGUCAUUCAAAGGAACAUAGAAAUUUGAUUUAAAUAUUUUUAACAUCCUCCUUUUACAUGAUUAAACAGCACACAGCUUUAUCAACAUUAAUGUGUAACUUUUAUCAAUAUAGUGUAAACUUUUCUUUUUCAUUUUUCUGAGUGUAUUUUGUCCUGACUCUCAAGAAUUAGUGAUUUAAAUUUAACUGGCCAAAUUCACUUCACAGUAGUGGUUGGCACUCUGACCUCACAGGGAAAAAGUCCUGAAUCAAAUCCCAGCUGGGACCUUUUCUGUACAGAGCUUGCAUGUUCUCCUCAUGUCUCGUGGGUUUCUUCCAUGACACUCUGGCUUCCUCCCACAGACCAAAGACAUGAGUCACAUGAAUUGGGGACUCUAAAUUGCCCCUAUGUGUGAGUGUGUGGCCCUGCAGCAGAAGGCAACAUGUUCGGGGUGCAACCUGCCAUUUCCCCAACAGUGGCUGGGUUGGCCCCAGUGCCUCCCUGACCCCUAAAGGAUUUCAGGGGCUGCUGAAGCUGGAUGGAUGGCCAAAGUGAUCUCUUGUUUAAACUGAUUAACAUGUCAGCUCCUCCCCCAGAGCAGUAAACAGAAAUCACCGCAGCUGGGAGGAAAAGAUUUUAACUAAACGCUCCAAUCUUAAAAAUGUGAUGUAUGAUGGACCAGGGGAACAUCAAAAUAAACCUCUAUUCCAUUCCUAUAUUUAGCUUAUCUGCUUUAGUGCUGUUUAUUUUAGUAAAUUAGUCAGUGACGUCACAUGAAAUAAUCUCCAUGGCAACAAAAUCUAGUCUAAAUUUUUUGCAUCUUGGACACCAAGAGAUGCGCGACUCGUUCCGGGUAAUCUGGAAAAUCCUGAUCUUGGUGCUACCCCCCACCCCCACCCACAAGCCCCGGAUUCUUUGGGGUCGGAAUCUGUUCCCUCCGGACUCUGACGUGACGUCACAAUAGAAUCAGAACAAGACCUCUCAAUUUCCUGAGGGGUGGCGAGCGACCCCUGCUGCUGCAGAACCGCAUCUGCCAGGAUCACCCCCCUCCUUGGACACCCCCACCACCAUCAAAAAAGCAGUGUUCCGUUUAACGGACUGAUAAGGAUUUUAAAAUGAUAAAAAAAAAA